ensembl:lncRNA
GCCGCCGCCCAGCUCAUUUUCCCUCCUUUGUAACCGAGAGAAGCGCGGCCGGCGGCCGGCGGUGGGGGCGGCGCGGGCGGAGGCGGGGCGGGGGCGGGGGCGGGCCGGGGACGGGGUGCGGGCGCCCGGGCUGGGGGGCGGUCGCCGAGCGCGCGGGGCGCGGGCGGGGAGAAGUUCUCAGCCCCGAGUUUCGGGCGCUCGGGAGAGAAAGCCGCGGCGCGGAUCCGCCAGCCGCCCCGCCCUCAACCCCCUCCCGCCGCCGCCUCGGCCCCGCCUUCCCCCUGGCGCAGGCCCCCGGGGCGCGGGACCCCGGCGCGACCUCGGCCCCCGGCCCGGACCCCACGUUCCCUGCCGCCCUCCCCGGCCCGCUCGCGGCCCCCCCCCCACGGCGGCCGGCCCUGCCCGCGCGGUCCAAGACCCCGGCCGGCGGAGGAACGCGAUCGGGCGAGGCUGGGAGCCGGCUGCCGCCGGGAACCCCGUCUCGCGCUGUGGGGAGGCCCCGAAAGGAAAGGGGUUUUGACAAGGAAACUGUGAAGCGAAAGAACUAAACAGGAAGAUGAAUUCAGAAUGUAUUGCUGCCACUGAGAAGUUACGUGUUGUCCUCAGAAGCAAAGAUGACUCUCCAGCAUCUGUAUGGCAUAUGUAUUUUCAGAGGGAGAAUGGAUCUGUGCCAGUUGUCUCUGGCCUGAAUUAAAGGAGACCGAGGGAUGUAAGUCAGCUGACCUACUUGCAAAUGAUUGCAGAAAGAACAAAGAAGUUGCAAACCCAUUCAAAUGGUGUCAAGGAUAAAUUAGCUCAGAAUAGUUUUGAAGAAAAGAAACUAUCGAGGUCAAAGUGUACAUUGAAAUAUUGAUAAAUUCCCCUCUCCUAUCAAAUCAUUAAAGAUCUAGUAAAUGACCCAGGGAUCAAACUGGGGGUCUCCUGCACUGCAGGCAGAUUCUUUACCCUCUGAGCUACCAGGGAAGCCCACGCCUGCCAGGCUCCUCUAUCUGUGGAAUUCUCCAAGCAAGAAUACUGGUGGGUAGCCAUUCCCUUCUCCAGGGGAUCUUCCCAACCCAGGGAUCAGAG